UGGGGAAUUUUGGACAAUGGGCGCAAGCCUGAUCCAGCCAUGCCGCGUGAGUGAAGAAGGCCUUCGGGUUGUAAAGCUCUUUCGGCCGGGAAGAAAUCGUGUUCUCUAACAUAGGACAUGGAUGACGGUACCGGACUAAGAAGCACCGGCUAACUACGUGCCAGCAGCCGCGGUAAUACGUAGGGUGCGAGCGCUAAUCGGAAUUACUGGGCGUAAAGCGUGCGCAGGCGGUUAUGCAAGACAGGUGUGAAAUCCCCGGGCUCAACCUGGGAACUGCACUUGUGACUGCAUGACUAGAGUGCGUCAGAGGGAGGUGGAAUUCCGCGUGUAGCAGUGAAAUGCGUAGAGAUGCGGAGGAACACCGAUGGCGAAGGCAGCCUCCUGGGAUGACACUGACGCUCAUGCACGAAAGCGUGGGGAGCAAACA
rnacentral:rRNA from 1 species